rfam:Bombyx mori DNA, contig: Bm_scaf81_contig32920, strain: p50T/Dazao, build 2, whole genome shotgun sequence.
UUAACUCAAAUUUGAAUACAGCUGGAACAUUUGCGUAUGUUUGCCGCUAGGGGCGCUGUUCCAACUGCAUACAAGUUAGAGUUA